AGAGGACUCAUAUUUCAGCAACAGUUUGAUGUUAAACACAUCUUAAUAACGAUUUUUUUUCAUUACAAACACAAAGCUUUACACUUAAUAAAACAUUAAUUGAUGGAUUGGAGUGGUGUGGAUUACUUGAGGAUUAUCGUGAUGUUUUUAUCAGCUGUUUGGACUCUCAUUCUGACGGCACCCAUUCACUGCAGAGGAUCCAUUGGUGAGCAAGUAAUGUAAUGCUUAAUUUAUUUGAAACAGUUCACAUCUUGGAUGGCCUGAAGUCAUAAUGACAAGCGUAAACGGGGAAUGCCACGUAUAACUCUUCAGGAACGCUCUACCAAGCGGAACAGAGAUGGCAGAGAUGAAUAUGAUCUGUGUGAGAGAGAACACCGAAAUACUAAACCUUUUCAUGGGUCAGUUGCAUCAGCCCAGUUUUUAACAACACUACAGCAACAGGGAGGUGUUAUGACUGCAGGGAGAACCUUUGCGCACUGCAGUGUUGCCCUAAGAGCGAGGGUGUGUUUGAAUCAUGCAGAGUCAUGUGGCGUGUCCUCAGCUAAAAGGUGA
ensembl:lncRNA